GCAGAUCCAAACAAUUCCAGAAAUUCUCUAGAAGAAAUAAACUUACUAUAUCUGAAAUGUGGGAGUGGGAAAGUUCUACAUAAAUAAACUUAAGUCCUAGGGAGCUGCCUCAGAUCAAACAGAAGGGCUGCCGUGAUCUUGCAAGGAUCCUCCCCAAUGGUGGUCACCCCUCCAGGGCGACUUUCGACCCUUUCCAGGGUCUUCUGACGAAGGAAAAACAGACAGCAGGGAAAAGCCUCCCCCUGUGCAUCCAAAGGCAUCACAAUCCGGAACCAGAAGUCAGAUAAGACUUGGAAACUUUCACUUUUGAAGACUGCAGCUGGGAAAAUGGGGGGGGGAACCCUUGGGCUGCUUAUCUGUGUGGCAGAGACGAUAAACUAUUUUGAAACCUGUAAACCAGCCUGCCUGGAUUACAAAUACAAACACUAACUGAUUUUUAGAGCCUUGUCAUGGAGCUAUUUCUCUGGUAGAAGAAACAUGCAUUACUGAUUGAGAUGAUGGAAUACUUUGGAUUAUAAACCUUUGAUUGAUGAA